rnacentral:rRNA from 1 species
CACUGGAAACGGUGGCUAAUACCGGAUGUGCCGGAAGGUGAAAGGCUUGCUGCCUGAAGAUGAGCUCGCGUCCGAUUAGCUAGUUGGUGGUGUAAGGGACUACCAAGGCGACGAUCGGUAGCUGGUCUGAGAGGAUGACCAGCCACACUGGGACUGAGACACGGCCCAGACUCCUACGGGAGGCAGCAGUGGGGAAUUUUCCGCAAUGGGCGAAAGCCUGACGGAGCAAUACCGCGUGAGGGAGGAAGGCUCUUGGGUUGUAAACCUCUUUUCUCAGGGAAGAACACAAUGACGGUACCUGAGGAAUCAGCAUCGGCUAACUCCGUGCCAGCAGCCGCGGUAAUACGGAGGAUGCAAGCGUUAUCCGGAAUGAUUGGGCGUAAAGCGUCCGCAGGUGGCGAUGUAAGUCUGCUGUUAAAGAGUGAGGCUCAACCUCAUAAGAGCAGUGGAAACUACAUAGCUAGAGUGCGUUCGGGGCAGAGGGAAUUCCUGGUGUAGCGGUGAAAUGCGUAGAUAUCAGGAAGAACACCGGUGGCGAAAGCGCUCUGCUAGGCCGCAACUGACACUGAGG